AAGGAUCAUUAAUGAAUUCACUAUGGAGUUGUUGCUGGCCUCUAGGGGMAUGUGCACGCUUCACUAGUCUUUCAACCACCUGUGAACUUUUGAUAGAUCUGUGAAGUCGUCUCUCAAGUCGUUAGACUUGGUUUGCUGGGAUGUAAACGUCUCGGUGUGACUACGCAGUCUAUUUACUUAUAACACCCCAAAUGUAUGUCUACGAAUGUCAUUUAAAGGGCCUUGUGCCUAUAAACCAUAAUACAACUUUCAACAACGGAUCUCUUGGCUCUCGCAUCGAUGAAGAACGCAGCGAAAUGCGAUAAGUAAUGUGAAUUGCAGAAUUCAGUGAAUCAUCGAAUCUUUGAACGCACCUUGCGCCCCUUGGUAUUCCGAGGGGCAUGCCUGUUUGAGUGUCAUUAAAUUCUCAAACUCACUCUGGUUUUUCCAAUUGUGAUGUUUGGAUUGUUGGGGGCUGCUGGCCUUGACAGGUCGGCUCCUCUUAAAUGCAUUAGCAGGACUUCUCAUUGCCUCUGCGCAUGAUGUGAUAAYUAUCACUCAUCAAUAGCACGCAUGAAUAGAGUYUGGCUCUCUAACCGUCCGCAAGGACAAUUUGACAAUUUGACCUCAAAUCAGGUAGGACUACCCGCUGAACUUAA
rnacentral:rRNA from 1 species